GGGUUGAGUAGGUUGGUCAUGCCUCUGGUAUGUACUGGUCUCACUGAUUCCUCCUUCCUUAUGAACCGUAAUGCCAUUAAUUUGGUGUUGCGGGGAAUUUGGACUGUUACCUUGAAAAAUUAGAGUGUUUAAAGCAGGCUAACGCUUGAAUACAUUAGCAUGGAAUAAUGAAAUAGGACGUUCGAUCUUAUUUUGUUGGUUUCUAGGAUUGACGUAAUGAUUAAUAGGGAUAGUUGGGCU
rnacentral:rRNA from 1 species